rnacentral:rRNA from 1 species
GACGGAGGAUGCAAGUGUUAUCCGGAAUCACUGGGCGUAAAGCGUCUGUAGGUGGUUCGAAAAGUCCACUGUUAAAAAUUGAGGCUUAACUUCAAAGAUGCCGUGGAAACUUUCAAACUAGAGUAUGGUAGGGGUAGAGGGAAUUUCCAGUGGAGCGGUGAAAUGCGUAGAUAUUGGAAAGACCACCGAUGGCGAAGGCAGCUC